rnacentral:rRNA from 1 species
GACAGAGGUGGCGAGCGUUAUCCGGAUUGACUGGGCGUAAAGGGCGUGUAGGCGGUUCUAUAAGUCGGUCGUGAAAGGCGUCGGCUCAACCGAAGCAGUGCGACCGAGACUGUAGGGCUUGGAGCGCGGAAGAGGAAAGGGGAAUUCCCGGUGUAGCAGUGAAAUGCGUAGAUAUCGGGAAGAACACCAAUGGCGAAGGCGCCUUUCUGGUCCGUUGCUGACGCUGAGGCGCGAAAGCUAGGGGAGCAAACAGG